ensembl:lncRNA
CCCCCACCCCUGGGCGCGCGCGCGCACACUCACUCACACUCGCAGGCGCGCGUGCGCACGCCCGCGCGCCCCGAGCCGCGGAGUCUCCAGCGCCCCUGAGCAGAUCCCACUCUCCCGGGCGCUGCUACUCACACAGGCUUCUAGCCGCCACGGGGCGUCCUCUGUCUGCGGCAGCGGUGGCGGCGCGAGCGGAGGCUGCAGUCUAGCCCGGUCUGGCUGCUCUGCGCCCUGGACAGAGUCCGGCAGAAGCGGGAUCGAGAGGAGAAGCCGAGGCGAGGAGGAGCCGCGCCGCGCCCGGCGCUCGCUUGCCUCGAAUCCCCGAACCGCGGCCCCAGGUCCUUGGCAGCCAGCACCAUAGUGUGUUGACAAUACGAGGAGAAGAGAGACAGAGAGAGCAAGAGAGAGAGAGAGAGUGCGAGCUCACAGCGCUCAGACUGUGACUCCCAGAAGCGGAUGAGCUUGUUUGGCGAGCGGUGGUGGAAGGAAGAACAGAUCCCAUGGAGUAACAAUUUGCAAAACCAGAGGCCAAAGCAGGACUGAAUCCUACAAGGGAGAUCAAGAUAGGAGUGACCAGCCACUGUCCCAAGAGGCCGGCACAGUUUUGCCUCAUGUUUCAGGGAAUGGAUAUGCGUGAAACGUGUU